UUAGAGUUUGAUCCUGGCUCAGAUUGAACGCUGGCGGAAUGCUUUACACAUGCAAGUCGAGCGGCAGCGCGGGGCAACCUGGCGGCGAGCGGCGAACGGGUGAGUAAUGCAUCGGAACAUGUCCAUGUCGUGGGGGAUAGCCCGGCGAAAGCCGGAUUAAUACCGCAUACGCCCGAGAGGGGAAAGUGGGGGACCGCAAGGCCUCACGCGAUUGGGUUGGCCGAUGUCCGAUUAGCUUGUUGGUGAGGUAAAGGCUUACCAAGGCGAUGAUCGGUAGCUGGUCUGAGAGGAUGAUCAGCCACACUGGGACUGAGACACGGCCCAGACUCCUACGGGAGGCAGCAGUGGGGAAUUUUGGACAAUGGGGGCAACCCUGAUCCAGCCAUUCCGCGUGAGUGAAGAAGGCCUUCGGGUUGUAAAGCUCUUUUGUCCGGAGCGAAACGGGCGGUCCUAAUACGAUCGUCUACUGACGGUACCGGAAGAAUAAGCACCGGCUAACUACGUGCCAGCAGCCGCGGUAAUACGUAGGGUGCGAGCGUUAAUCGGAAUUACUGGGCGUAAAGCGUGCGCAGGCGGUUUUGUAAGCCAGACGUGAAAUCCUCGGGCUUAACCUGGGAAUGGCGUUUGGGACUGCAAGGCUGGAGUAUGGCAGAGGGGACUAGAAUUUCUGGUGUAGCAGUGAAAUGCGUAGAUAUCAGGAGGAAUACUCGAUGGCGAAGGCAGGUCUCUGGGCUAAUACUGACGCUCAUGCACGAAAGCGUGGGGAGCAAACAGGAUUAGAUACUCUGAUAGUCCACGCUCUAAACGAUGUCGACUGGUUGUUGGGGGAUUUGACACUCUCAGUAACGAAGCUAACGCGUGAAGUCGAUCGCCUGGGGGAGUACGGCCGCAAGGUUAAAACUCAUAGGUAGUG
rnacentral:rRNA from 1 species